CUACUCUUCUAACUGCAAAUAUAGCUGCUUUGUUGCUACCAUACUUCCUCUCUUUUAGAGUAGCAUGCAAUUGGAGGAACUGGAUGGUACAUUUGAGAACACUUAAUUGAAUCUCCACAUUUGAUAGAUCCAGAAAUGGAGCCCCAAAGAGAGGCGAUAGCUUGCUUAAUGUCACAUAGUUCAUCAGCUGAGAGAGCUCCCAAGCUCUCUCCUCCCCUCAUGCCAGGGGCUGCUGGGUAGAUCUAUAAAAACACUAAAAUGUUUUGUGCUAUUGUUUGGAAAAAUCCUAGAUGGGAAAAAAACACCAUUCUGAAGUGGUUGAAUCAGAUCUGAGAGACUCAGCUCCAAGAGGAGGGAACUAACUGGUUAAGUACCAGCACUCAGCUUCAGGCAAAAGGCUUUUUCUCUGCCAGCCUUCAUUUAAGCAUUUUUAAUUUUUAAUGUAUUACUAAUUGAGGGAAACUUAGCAUAUUUAAUUAUUUUGAUUAAAAAUAUUUCAACAGUUAUAAACAAAAGUGGGUGAGAUGUGCUCCCUGGCAGAAACUCGAGUGAUUACUGAGGUGAGUGGUUUAGUGGAGUGUCUCAGAAAUUAAAGUUGUUACCAGCUGAUUAAUUGAGUUAGGAGGCUUCUGUUGAGUAAUUAGGUUCACAAAAGGUCUAUGGAUGGGCUAUAAUAGGCUGUCAGUUCAAGCAAACAUCAUACAGCCUAUAUUUGAUUGGUACACAGUGACUGAGACAUGGAAUGGACUUUGAGACAAAGCACGUUAGUAGAUAGAAUGUUAGUCCUCAAAGGGAUAUGAGAACAUAGAAUUUAGAAUAAUGUCAGAGCUUUCAGAGACUUCAGAGAGAGAAGGUUAUAACAGAGAGCAAAAAUGGACCUUGGAAAUCACCUAAUUCAACUCAUUCAUUUAGAAGACAAGUACACUUAAUCCCAAAAAGAAGUCACUUCCUCCAGGCCUUUGUUCCAGAGACAAAAUGACAGAUAUGGGAGACGGCUUAUACAAAACCACCAAGAUGGAAGGUACCUCAGAGCAGAUAGAUUGUGGAGUGGAUAGAGGGCUAGGUUUGAAGUCCAGAAGAUCUCAAGUCCAAAUGGUCCCCCAAUAUAUUCUAGUUUGUGAACCAGAAAAAAUUCCUCAACCUGCUUCUGCCUCUUUUUCCUCCACUGUAGAAGAAAGAUAAUAAUAUCCCCUAUUUCCCAGAGUUGUUAUGAGAUUGAAAAGAUAUCUCCUUUGUACAAAUCUUUUUUCACAGAGCCUGACAACAGAGCAGAUGAUUUAUAAAUGCUUGUCCCCUUCUUUCCUUUCUUUAAAAAUAAAUCUAAGCAGACCAAUGAGUUAUCUGAUCUUUGUUGUUCAUCUUUCAUUUUCAAAGAGGACCGGAGAUAUAAUAGGAUAGUGUCUUGAAUCGAAGUGAGGCAGAGCUGCACAAAGUCAUCUGGUGAUGGC